UUAAAAUUUUGACAAAAACCCUAUCUUAAACCCUAGAUCCUCCUUCAAUUUACUGUACUUCUGUCUCUGUUAUGUGAGAAGGAAAAGAAAGCAGCGGCAACCUCAACCUACAAAGAAAAUGCAGUUCCUCUUACGGUAUCUCCCCAAACAUUGCCGCCUCCGCCGCCCUCACCACCGUGGCUUCGUCGACUUUGCUGCGAUCAAACAUCUACGCGACCGGGGCCUCGACCAUGCAGUACAGAGAGAAAAGCAUCUGAAGCCCAUGCUGAACAUCAAGAACCUCAUAAAAUCAGAGCCAGCAAAAUCCCUCCCUCUAUCCGUCAUUACUCAGCACAAGGACUCCCUCGAUAUCCCAAGUCGCCCUAUUGAAUUCAUCCGAAAAUACCCUUCAAUCUUCGAAGAAUUUCUCCCUGGGGGAAUAGGUGUUCAUCCCCACAUCAAGCUCACGCAACAGGUACUUGAUCUUGAUGCUGAAGAGCAGUUAGUUUACCAGAGUGAGAGUUAUAGGCAGGAUAUUGCUGAUAGACUCUUAAAAUUGUUAAUGAUUUCGAGAAUUAAUAAAAUACCACUGAAGAUUCUGGAUGAUAUAAAAUGGGAUUUGGGUUUACCUGAAGAUUAUACCAAGAGUAUUGUUCCUGAGUUCCCCGACUGUUUUCGAGUUAUUGCUAAUGAAAAUUUGUCAUCUGGGUUGGAUUCAGAUUUGGAAUUGGAGCUAGUUUGUUGGAGUAAUGAAUUGGCUAUUUCGUUCAUAGAAAAGAAGGCAACGAGAGGGAAAAUGGACUACAAAAAGGGGAUGCCUAUUGCUUUCCCUAUGCAUUUUUCAAAGGGUUUUGAGAUGGAUAAGCAGUUGAAGAAAUGGUUUGACGAUUGGCAAAAGUUGCCUUAUAUUUCUCCAUAUGAGAAUGCAACCCACCUUGGGCCUAGUACUGAUGAAUCUGACAAGUGGACAGUGGGGGUUCUGCACGAGAUUUUCCGUCUUUUUGUUUCAAAGAAGGUGGAGAAGGACGCUUUAUUGUGUCUGGGAGAGUGGUUGGGGAUCCGGUCAAGGUUAAAGAGAGCAUUGCUUCACCAUCCAGGGAUAUUUUACUUGUCUAGUAAAUUGGGAACUUAUACCGUGGUUUUAAGGGAGGCCUAUAAGAGGGGAUUGUUAAUAGAGAAGAAUCCACUGAUUAGUAUUAGGAGUAGGUAUAUUCAUCUCAUGAACAUUGUAACUGAGGAUCGAAAAGCAAUUGGUGUGCCUGGUGGAAGUACACAAGGGAAGAAGCCGGUCCCUGAUUCUGAAGAACAAAGAGAAAAAGGUGAUUGUCAGGGUAGUCUGGAGAUGAAUGAUAUGGAUUCUGAUUUUGAGAAUGAUGAUGACUACAAAUAUGAUGAUGAUGAGGAGGAGGAGGAAGAAGAAGAAGAAGGCGAAAGUAAGUCACGUGCUCGUAGAAAUGCCCCAACUAGCGGUUCAAAAGCAAAUAAGAAGAAUUUGAAUGCAAGAGGGUCUUCUACGAAUGCUGGAACUGGAAGACAUAGGCUGGUUCAAAAACACCAUGGCAUGGCCAAAGACAAAGUGCAACUAAAAGAUCCUAAUAGAGAUAGGUUGAAUUCCUCUAAGAGCAAGAGGAAAUUAUUUACAGAAAGGAGGACAGCUACUUAAAUGAAGACUUAGUUUGUCUGUUGAAACCAAAAAUGGGCAGUGAUGCUGCAGAGAUGGUACAUUACAUUGAUCGCAAUUAUUUAUGACCAUCAAACACUUGUCAUACUCUUUGAUACGCCAGAGUACAAUGGCUUACAGUUAGCAACUCUCAAGAAUGCAUUGCUGAUGAUUGUUGAUCACAAAAUGAUGUGAUUGAUAAUUUGAAAAGAUCUUUCACUAUUCCUUGUCUCUUCUCCAAUCUUAAGGAAAUGCAUCAUGUUCUCAUGAUCUACAUUGCUCUGAUUUGAAGCUGCUAUUCAAAUUCUCUUUUCUGUAAGAUAUGCAAUUUGAUGGCUCUUAGACUGGAAGUUUCAAGUUAAAUGAAUGGAGAGGAAGUUUAUGUUGAUGUGCUGCAUUGAAACAUAGAUGUUAAAAUAGGGUUCUGGGAAGUAUUUUGAAUUGGAGAUGAGAAAAUAAAGAUUUAUGCAUAGUUGGGAAUGCCUAUGGUGAUUAAUAUUUUGUGGCAUAGAUUCUAUGAUACUGGGCUUGAUAAUCUACCAUACUUCAUGAGAUGGUGUCUGAGCAGUUGGCACUUGAAGGCCGUGUGGCCAAGUGGAUAUAUAUUUUGUGUCGCUAAGUGGAUAAAUAUUUUGUGUCGUAUGAUCAACUGCUUACCAGAUUGCUUCUAGGAUAAUAUUAUUUAAAGAGAAGGGGGGAGAAGUGGGAGAGGGGGUUGGGGGGAGACGAAUGUUGAAAGAUUAUAUGUACUUUGUGACCACAUAAUAUUGGCCACUUACUGUAUCAACUCAGUGACGACAAAGUUGUUAGCAUUGUUAUCAAAGGCCCGCCUGAGGCACAAGGCGUACCGGGUGCAGCUCAUAGCGCCUGAGGAACCCAAAAGCGCACGACUUGCAGGAGGCGCGCCCAAGCGCACCAAGGUGCUAGGCGCUCCUAGCCAUUCACACCCAUGCAAUCACAGAAAGCAAACUGAAAAAAGAAAAAGGAGAAGAAGAAAAAGAAGAAGAAGAAGAUCUGAAAAACCUAACUUGAUUUUAUCCUCUCCUAGGCUCGAGCUUAUCUAAUUUCUUAUCUGAACUCCAGGUAUGCUUUCUCUUUUGUUCUUCCUGCUCCCCUCUCCCUCUCUCCACCAGAUCCAUUUUCACCCGACUGAUUUGGGUUUUCAUUUUCCUUUCUCUUCUAUGCUUUCUUUUCCUCCUUUUUUC